rnacentral:rRNA from 1 species
GACGAACGCUGGCGGCGUGCCUAACACAUGCAAGUCGAACGGAAAGGCCCUGCUCUUGUGGGGUGCUCGAGUGGCGAACAGGUGAGUAACACGUGUGUAACCUGCCCUUGACUUUGGGAUAACUUCAGGAAACUGGGGCUAAUACCGGAUAUGAGCUCCCGCUGCACGGUGGGGGUUGGAAAGUUUCGGCGGUUGGGGAUGGACACGCGGCUUAUCAGCUUGUUGGUGGGGUAGUGGCUUACCAAGGCUUUGACGGGUAGCCGGCCUGAGAGGGUGACCGGCCACAUUGGGACUGAGAUACGGCCCAGACUCCUACGGGAGGCAGCAGUGGGGAAUAUUGCACAAUGGGCGGAAGCCUGAUGCAGCAACGCCGCGUGCGGGAUGACGGCCUUCGGGUUGUAAACCGCUUUCGCCUGUGACGAAGCGUGAGUGACGGUAAUGGGUAAAGAAGCACCGGCUAACUACGUG